GGUGGAAUUCAACUCUGACUAUUAUUUGUAGGGACUUACUGAUUUCAAAGCAAAGGUUUGGAGUCACUUUUCCAACCUCGUUCUUGCCCUUGGAGUCAAAUGAUGAGGAUGAAGUCGUUGAGGUUGAAGAUGAGGAGGUACAGGCCGAGGAGUUCUUCAGUCCGAUCUAUGGAGAUCAUGCGAUCGAGGAUGUGGCAUUAGCCUAGCCUUCUAUAGUCAUCAUACUCUUUGAUCCUGGUGACAUCGGCCAGUCUCAUGCCCCUGAUGGGGCUUAAAAAUUUAUACUUCAGCUUGGGCAUGUCCAGGCUUAAACAUUGGUCGGUCCCUUUUUGAUAACCUCGGCAUUGAUCGAGGUAUUUUGUACCAAACUG
rnacentral:lncRNA from 1 species